rnacentral:rRNA from 1 species
CUCUACAGUCAUACACCACCCUGAACACGCCUGAUCUGGGCUGAUCUAGGAAGCUAAGCAGGGUUGGGUCUAGUUAGUACUUGAUUGGACACUGCUUGGGAAUAUUGGGUGCUGUAGGCU